CCGGCCAGGUGGCGUAGCGGGCAAAGUCAGUGUUGCAGCUAUUGGAAACCAGGCUCUAAAUCCUGUGGCUUAGAGUAGCCUAGAGCCCCCCCGGCACCUCUUCGCUCAGAGCGGGUUCGAAUCCAACCCGGGUACGGUCCGAUCACGCUCCACCGGCGAAGUGCGUUUUCCAGCAGCCGGGUCUGCACCGGGCCGGUAUUUUUAGGGGGGUGGCCAUUCUAGGUCACACCCCUAAGAAUGGGGAACAUUGCACGGGAUUAAAGUACUAAAAGGGGUUUACAAAAAGGGAACGAAUGACGUAAUUGCAGAAAUUGGCGGCGUUUUACGUCACUGUCACCUGGCGUAAAUUCCCCACGAGUGCGGCUCUCUCCCCCUUCCACGAGUGGGUCUGAUUCAAGAUGGCGGUGCUGGCAGUUUGCGAGAACUUCUGUGUCCCAUCCAGUUGCAGGAACCGAGACCUGAAGGUGUUGGGACCAGUUAAUGAUUAUUGCUUUGGCAUUGUUGGGCAUUGUGGGGGAAUUGCCGGCGUGGUGCGAUUUUCAAAUAUAAAAUGAUCAAGUUGUGGUCUUCUUCAUUGGAUCUGUAGACGUGGGGGUCUCCUUUGAAAGGCGCAUGCUAGUGUCGUGUGUGGACACACAUUCCAAGCUGCACAUCUGCAGUGCCUGUCUUGCAGCGUGGUGUGGUCUCUGUCUGGAGGGAUUCGGUUCUCUCUCCCAGAUCCCGGACAAGCACGUGCCUGUUCGCUGGUCACUGAAAUCUACAUGUUCAGCGGAGCUUUCGUCUGACAAAGAGAGCCAGUACUUGGUGAACCUGGCUGCUGCAAGUCCAGUUUUGCCACAACCUGCCUGUUGCUGAAGCCUCACUCCAGCGGGAUUCACUCUGUUUCCACAGCCGGUAA